rnacentral:rRNA from 1 species
UACGAAGGGGGCUAGCGUUGUUCGGAUUUACUGGGCGUAAAGGGCGCGUAGGCGGAUGUGUAAGUCAGGGGUGAAAUCCCACAGCUCAACUGUGGAACUGCCUUUGAUACUGCGGAUCUUGAGUCCGGGAGAGGUGAGUGGAACUGCGAGUGUAGAGGUGAAAUUCGUAGAUAUUCGCAAGAACACCAGUGGCGAAGGCGGCUCACUGGCCCGGAACUGACGCUGAGGCGCGAAAGCGUGGGGAGCAAACAGG